rnacentral:rRNA from 1 species
AUCGUGCAAAGGUAGCAUAAUAAUUAGUUUUUUAAUUGAGAACUGGAAUGAAAGGUUGAACGAGAAAAUUACUGUCUCAAUUCAAUUUAAAUUAGAAUUUUAUUUUUAAGUAAAAAAGCUUAAAUAAUUUUAGAAGACGAGAAGACCCUAUAGAGUUUUAUAUUUAUAGUAAUUAAUUUAAUUUUUAGAAUUUAAUUUUAAUAAUUUACUUUAAGUAUUUGGUUGGGGUGACUGAAAAAUUGAAUAAACUUUUUUUGAAAAAUUUUACAUUGAUAUAUGAUUAAUUGAUCCAUAUUUAUAUGAUUAAAAGAUUAAAUUACCUUAGGGAUAACAGCGUAAUUUUUUUUGAGAGUUCAUAUCGAAAAAAAAGUUU